rnacentral:rRNA from 1 species
GACGAACGCUGGCGGCGUGCUUAACACAUGCAAGUCGAACGGAAAGGCCCUGCUGUUGUGGGGUGCUCGAGUGGCGAACGGGUGAGUAACAAGUGAGUAACCUGCCCUUGACUGUGGGAGAACUACAGGAAACUGGGGCUAAUAACGGAUAGGAGCUCCUGCUGAAUGGUGGGGGUUGGAAAGUUUCGGCGGGUGGGGAUGGACUCGCGGCUUAUCAGCUUGUUGGUGGGGUAGUGGCUUACCAAGGCUUUGACGGGUAGCCGGCCUGAGAGGGUGACCGGCGACAAUGGUACUGAGAGACGGACCAGAGUCGUACGGGGGGCAGCAGGGGGGAAUAUGGCGCAAUGGGGGGAAGCGUGUGGAAGCAACGCUGGGUGCGUGAUGACCGCCUUCGGGGUGUAAACGGCGUUAGCCUGUGACGAAGCGUGAGUGACGUUAAUGGGUAAAGAAGCACCGGCUAACUCCGUG